rnacentral:rRNA from 1 species
CCUACGGGAGGCAGCAGUGAGGAAUAUUGGUCAAUGGACGGAAGUCUGAACCAGCCAAGUAGCGUGAAGGAUGACUGCCCUAUGGGUUGUAAACUUCUUUUAUAAAGGAAUAAAACGAGGCACGUGUGCCUUUUUGCAUGUACUUUAUGAAUAAGGAUCGGCUAACUCCGUGCCAGCAGCCGCGGUAAUACGGAGGAUCCGAGCGUUAUCCGGAUUGAUUGGGUUUAAAGGGAGCGUAGAUGGGUUGUUAAGUCAGUUGUGAAAGUUUGCGGCUCAACCGUAAAAUUGCAAUUGAUACUGGCAGUCUUGAGUACAGUUGAGGUAGGCGGAAUUCGUGGUGUAGCGGUGAAAUGCUUAGAUAUCACGAAGAACUCCGAUUGCGAAGGCAGCUUACUAAACUGCCACUGACAUUGAUGCUCGAAAGUGUGGGUAUCAAACAGGAUUAGAUACCCCUGUAGUC